rnacentral:lncRNA from 1 species
AGCACAAAAACACGUAUUACUUCUACACCAUGCACAACAACAACUAACACUAUGGAUCUUACUACUACUAGUAGUACUACUACUACUAGUACUACUACUACUAAUACUACUACAGGUUCUACUACAUGUGACAAGCUAAUUGAUAAAAUGUGGUGUACUUUAGAACAGUAUUUUCAUGCUCAAAAAUUAUUUAUCGAUACAGAAAGAACGUUGUUAAUUUUAAUGAAAAAUUUAUACAAUACAUAUACAAUUAUUGAUUUAAAAAAUAAUUAUACAUUUAUAAAUAAAAAAAUGACAAAUGAUAUAAUAGAUUCUAUGCCCAUAUUACAUUCAGUGUUAAGGUAUAGUGAUAUGCUCAUACAAAACAUUGAUGAAUUAAAAAAUAUUGAAAAUAAUGAUGUUUUUAUUAAUAUACUAUUAAUUAUUAAAAAUGCAAAAUGUUUAUGCCUAGCUUGUUAUUACACAUUAACUCAGAAACAAGCUGAAGCGUAUGUAUUAUUUGACCAAAUAAAAAUAAGAAAUUAUGUAUAUGUCAAAAAUAAUAAUAUUAAAGAUAUACAUAAUCCUGCAUUGUUAAGGAUAGCCAUUUUGUUUAAUAGGCUACAAGAUUUAGUUCUACUUAUUAAUGAAAAAUAUUAUUUAAGACAUUUAGCAAUAUAUGCAUUACAAGUCAAAAAUAAGUCACAAGCACAUAUGAAUAAAAACUUAUUUUCUGUUGAUAACUCCCUUUUUAAUUAUAAAAUGAACCAAAUCUCACUUAAUCCUUUGCAUAUUGAUAUGGUGAAAUUGUGUAAAGAGGAAGAACUGCUUAAACUAGAAAGUCCAAAAGAAAAGAAGGAAACGACUGGAAUAAGGGGAUUAUUACGUUCUUUUUGGAAAUAAAAAAAAAAAAAAAAAAAAAAAAAAAAAAAAAAAAAAAUAGCAAGUGAUACAGCUGAGGAGAAAUACUACCAUGUGAAUAACUUAUUCAUUUUUGUUAUAUACAUGAUUUAUUUGAGUAAUAUAUAUAU